UACUUGUGUGAACAGUGCAGAUAACUUCUGCUAUGUUUGUGGUGAAGUGACUUUUGCACCACAAAAGCACAGUAUAAUCACUAUGAUUAAGAAAGCCUAUCACCUUUAUUUUGGCUGCAAAAUUGGAGAUCAGGACAAGAGGUGGGCCCUACACAUAUGCUGCAACACUUGUGCAACAAAUCUUCGCCAGUGGUUGAACAGGAAAAGGAAAUCUAUGCCUGUUGCAGUGCCAAUGAUUUGGAGAGAGACAAAAGAUCAUACCAGCAAUUGUUACUUCUGCAUGGUGCCUCCAGUUGGGAAAGGUGUGUCAAAGAAGAAAAAGUGGACUGUGCAUUAUCCAAACAUUCCAUCAACUAUACGCCCAGUACCCCACCGAGAAGGACUGCCGGUUCCUGAUGCACCAGAAUCAUUCUCACUUGAGUCAGACGAGGAAGUGGAAGAGGAUAAAACUUCUGGUCCUGAACCAUCAAUGUCACAGGACCCACAUUUUCUCCCAUCCUCCUCCUCUGAACCACACCUCAUAACACAAGGUGAACUGAAUGACCUUGUCAGGGAUUUGGAAUUACCCAAGAGAAAGGCAGAGUUGUUGGGCUCCAGACUACAGCGGUGGAAUCUCCUGGCAGGUGAUGUUAGGGUUUCCAUGUUCCAUGACCGUCAAAAGGAUCUUGUCCCAUUCUUGUUCAUGGAAGGUGAUCUUGUAACCUGCAACAACAUCGAUGGUGUGAUGGCAGCCCUCGACAUCGUUCACUAUCCAGAUGAGUGGAGACUGUUCAUUGAUUCAUCGAAGACGAGUCUUAAAGCUGUUUUACUGCAUAAUGGCAAUGUUUUGCCAUCAAUUCCAGUUGGUCAUGCAGUCCAUGUGAAGGAAACCUAUGACAACAUGAAACAACUUUUGAGGUGCAUAAACUAUGACCAACAUCAGUGGCAGCUUUGUGGCCAUUUGAAGGUUGUUGCUCUCUUGCUUGGUCUGCAGACUGGAUACACAAAGUACUGCUGUUUUCUCUGCGAAUGGGAUAGUCGUGCAAGAGAUUCCCACUACAUCAAGAAAGAUUGGCCACUCCGACAGUCAUUGGAGCCUGAGAGGAAAAGUGUUCAUCAUCCACCACUUGUUGAAUCAAGUAAAAUUUUGUUACCACCCUUACACAUCAAGCUGGGUCUGAUAAAGAACUUUGUCAAGGCCAUUGACAAAACACAAGCAGCUUUCAAGUACCUCCGUGGAAAAUUUCCAAGGUUAAGUGAAGCUAAGAUAAAGGAAGGUGUCUUUGUUGGUCCUCAGAUUCGUGAACGUCUUCAAGAUGAUGCAUUUGACCAUGCACUGCGUGGCAAGGAAAAGACGGCAUGGAAAGCCUUCCAGUUAGUGGCAAUACAUUUUCUCGGAAACAACAAGGCAAACAACUAUAGGUUGUUGGUGGAAAACCUUCUCAAGGCAUACAAAAGCCUUGGUUGCAACAUGUCACUAAAGAUACAUUUUUUGCACUCUCAUCUAGAUUUUUUUCCACUGAACUGUGGAGCAGUGAGAGACGAGCACGGCGAGCGAUUUCACCAGGACAUUGCAACAAUGGAGAAAUGCUAUCAGGGCAAAUGGAGCCCAUCAAUGCUUGCAGAUUAUUGCUGGACAGUGACAAGAGAUGCUCUAUUUAAUGAAUACAAGAGACAAGCCAAGAAGCGCUGAGUAGACACUGAAUAGGUCUAAACUAUGUACAUAAUAGUUUUUUGCCUUUUGUUUCAUAAUAAAUUUUAUUUAUAUAACCCUUUUGCUGAUUUU
ensembl:lncRNA